UCUAAUCUGUGGCAGCAGAUCUGCAAGAGGGUGGGGCCCAGCCGCCUCCUGGCGGGCGUGAGGAGGUGUCUGCCACACCGGCAGAACUCAAGGGUGGCUGCAACUAUGCCUGGCUGUCUCCUUGCCCUUCUCCUCGGCACUUUCUUAGGUGUCAGAGCUCAGACCAUCCAUCAGUGGCCACACGCCAGGGUGCAGCCUGUGGGCAGCCCCCUCUCCCUGGAGUGCACGGUGAGGGGGGCAUCGAGCCCCUACCUAUACUGGUACCGGCAGGCCGGAGGAGGGGCCCUGCAGCUGCUCUUCUACUCUGUAGGCGCUGGCCAGGUAGACUCUGAAGCACCCCAGCACUUGGAAGCCUCCAGGCCCCAGGACGGCAAGUUCGUCCUGAAUUCUACGAAGCUCCUCCUCAGUGACUCUGGCUUCUACCUCUGUGCCUGGAGUCCCACACUGAGCUGGCUAAAGAGGGAGCAGAGAAGCAGAUGAUGAUCAAAGAGCUACAAGAGACAGAAUAAAGAAGAGGGCAUGCUUGUAUAAUGGAAAAACCCUAAAAAAGACAAAUUCUCUGGAUGGGAAUGAAGGAGAGGAAAGGCUUACGGGGAUGGCUGGGAAGAUAUGCCAUGGUUACCUUGGCAACCAAGCUCCCUCAGCCCUCAGUGGCUCAACCCUCCCUCCCGUCCUUGUUCUUAAAAGGGUUUUCUUUUCUAAUGUCCCUUCUGCUCCGCGAGGGGGCACACGAAGUCUUAAAAUACCCAGCUCCUGGCUUCACUUCAUCUAGGACAAUUCAGACAUGCCUUUAUUUCCAGUAUCAUUUAGUUGGCAGAGGAAAAUCUGACACAGAGACACGGAGUGAUCAAGACAGUCUUCCGGAAUGACCAAGGCUUCCUAGUGUACAUUAAGGAUUAACUUCUGUGUCACGUGCUGGGUUCUCCGAGCCAUCACAGGGAUUAAAAAGAGUAAUGGUGCUGGGCUUCGUCACAGUGUGGUUCGAUCAAAGCUCUUGGUUUGCUUCUUCUUCCGCAUGCGUGAAUGUUUAAUUCACUGAGGC